rnacentral:misc_RNA from 1 species
AACGGUAUCCGUAGUAAAAUAACUCGCUGUCUUAUAGGUAGUUCUUCGUUCUUCAAUCUUUUUUAAAAAUACGUGAUGAUAAAAAUAUAAAUUAAUUUCAAUAAUAAUGACUGUAAAUAAUAUCAUGUGUUUUUUACCAGAAUAUACAGGUAGUCGGCAUUGUCAGUUUUAUUUUGGCAUUACGAAAAUUAUCAAUACUUAAUACAAAAUGCCAUAGUCCGAAAACAGUGUUGUGUUUGUUUGCGGUGUUUCGGUGGUAACGAUGGCUAACUCCCCGACAAGUAUUGAGACGCAAAUAGACAGUUUCUUAGAACAAUUUAAAAGAAGUGCUUCGAAAGCCAUGGAAGAACGUAUGGAAUGGCCUGAUGGUCCAUCGCCUGGCGCAGUCGUCAAAUCUCGCAGUAGCUGUUUUGCUUUAGAUUCUGCUUCUGAAGCGGAAUGCGACGGCUGCAGCAGCGACAAUGACGAAGGGCGCAGCGUGGGGGAGCUGCUGUUACCGCAGUAUGCGCUGGCCACGGGCGGGCUGGCGCGGGACCACAGGCCACUCAUCACGUUCCCAGAUAAUAACAACUUCCACGUGCUCACCGCUACGGAAUACCGACGGCUGCUGCUUUACCUCACUUCUGUGCCCUCAUUGUUAGAAGCGGAAAUGGGUUUCCAUAUAAUAAUAGAUCGACGGAAAGACAGAUGGAAUUCGGUUAAAGCAACAUUAUUAAGGAUAUCCGAGUUUUUCCCGGGCGUUAUCCACGCGGUAUACGUCCUCCGGCCGGCCAGUUUCUUACAAAAAGCCCUGUCUGAAGUGAGCAGUAAGUUGUUCAAGGAGGAGUUCAGAUUCAGGGUGCUCGUCUGUUCUACUGUGGACGAGUUGUAUGAACACUUCGACAAGUCGCAACUAACUCCGGACUUGGGGGGCGAAUUACAGUACUCGCAUUCUGAAUGGAUACAGCAACGGAUAGCGCUAGAGAAAUUUUCGACUCUAAUGAAGGAAAUCUCGACUAAACUGGACGAGUUUAUGCACGAGAUCGUCGAUUGCGACAUGGGCAAUGAUCCCACUCAAACCAAAGAAUUGUUAGAUUGUCAAGAAUCUAGUUAUAAAGCUUUAAAAACUGAACUGGCGUCGGCAACGUCGCAAGGCGAGGAAUUGCUGACGCAAGUGCGAAAACCAAAUCUUACAUAUAAUAUUAUAAGUCACGUGGCUGCCGUUGAGAGGCUACUUGUACAACUUGAAGAGACUGAGAAACAAUUUGAUAAUUUCUGGAAGAAACAUUCAAUGAAAUUAAACCAUUGGCUGAAAUUUAGAACAUUUUUAUUAAAUUUUAAACAAAUGCAGGCUACUUUAGAUACACAUUUAAAGACGGCAUGCGAUAUGACUGAAGUUGGAGAAACUGCUAAUAGAGUUGACGGUCUCUUAGAAGAAGCUAGUGAAUUUGAAAAAUUAUGUAACUGUGAUCUCGAUGCCGCAUCAUUAGUAAUUGAUGAAGGUGAAAAAUUAAUGCAAGAUCCUUUAAGUUCAGUGGACCAUAUAGAAUCGAAAUGUGAAGAAUUAAGACGAACUAGUGCUUUACUAAUUGACAAAAUACAAAAACGAAAUUUACUUUUAACAAAAGCAAGAGAGCUGAUGGAUAGAAUAGACAAGGCAAACGAGUGGUGCACAACGGGAGUGGAGAUUUUAGCUGGAGAAGGUGGCCUAAUAGCCGUGGACAAGUUAUUAGAAGACGCAAAAAGCUUUGGUCUUACGUCACCUGAUGAAUUCCGAGACAUGCUUAUGCAGACUGCAACGCAAGAAACUCGAGCGCUUGUCACUCAGGUGUCACAAAGGGUGGAGGACGUUUGGCUGAUGGUGACGGUGAAGCGUGCGACGCUGCAGCGAGCGGCGGCAAAACCUGCACGCCCCGUGCAGUCUGUGCCGCCGCAGAGCGCUGCGCUGCAGCCGCCCGUCGAACAGAUGGAGACAUCAGGCGGAUCAGAGAGCUCAGGGGGCGAAGACGCAGAGGCUCGGCGGUCGAGGCGUGGCCACGUGUUGGCUGAACUCCUUCAGACGGAAAGAAUUUACGUACAAGAACUAGGCUCCAUACUGGCUGGCUAUAAAGAAGAAAUGGAAAAACCAGAAAAUCAGCAUAUACUACCGGCAGGACUAAUUGGACAAGCGGAUGUUUUAUUUGGAAAUCUGCACGAACUUUUCACAUUCCACCAAGAAGUAUUUUUAAAAGAUUUGGAAAAAUCGAUCUCAGCGACAGAACUAGUUGCACUCUGCUUUGUUGAAAAAAAAGAAACAUUCUAUCACCUAUACAGUUACUAUUGCCAAAACAUACCCCGGUCAGAAAGGUUACGAGAGACAUUGGUCGACACGCACCUCUUCCUACAAGCGUGCCAACAGCGGCUCGGCCACAAACUGCCCUUGGCUGCGUAUCUACUCAAACCAGUGCAGAGGAUUACUAAAUACCAGCUCUUAAUAAAGGACCUGCUCCGGUACAGCGAGUGCGGGUCGAUGAGCGCGAGCCUGCAGCAGGCGCUCGACUGCAUGCUCGUCGUGCUCAAGUGCGUCAACGACUCCAUGCACCAGAUCGCUAUUACUGGAGUGCCUGUGGACCUGAACCAGCAGGGCGAGCUGCUGCUGCAGGGCUCGUUCCUGGUGGUGUCGGAGAACAAGCGCGACCUGCGGCUGCGCCUGCGCCCGCGCCGCCGCCACAUCUUCCUCUACGAGAAGGCGAUGCUCUUCUGCAAGCCCGCCGCUAAGAACAGCCACAAUAAGACCUAUCACUUCAAACAUGACUUGCAGAUGUCGCAGAUCGGGCUGACGGAGUCGGUGAAGGGCGACCCGCGCAAGUUCGAGGUGUGGCGGCAGGGGCGCGCCGAGGUGCACACCAUCACCGCGCCCUCCGCCGACGCCAAGCGCGCCUGGGUCGAGCGCAUCAAGCGCGUGCUGCUCGACCAGCUGCACGAGCUCAAGGGCGAGCGCGGCCGCCAGUACGCGGCGCACCACAGAACGCUUAUACAGACGAGUUCAUGGGACAUAGGGCCCCAAAAGGAGCGGGCGCACCCGGGCGGGCACCCCGCGCGCACCGCCUCGUGCGACGCGCACGACGAGCCGUGCUGGUCCACCGACCCGUCCGACGACGACGAGGAGGAGCCCGAGCACGCGCCGGUGACGGAGGCCGUGGGUCUCAACGGUACCAUCCACAGAAUGGUACAGUUCUUUUCUGUAUCGGGCUCGGCACAAGCCAACUCCACGUUUUACGUGUCACAGUACUGAUAGAGUGCCUUCGCGGGCUUUGUAUAUAAAAGACUGAUUUAGAUAUCCAAAGUAUGUUAUAACCAAAGAAAUCGGCGUUACGUUGGAUAUGUCAGUUGUAUUUGCUGAACAUUUAUAUCGUGCGGUGGGCAGCUCGCUGGUGGCGCUGUCGGAGUACGCGGCGGUGGGCGCCAGCGAGGUGUCGCUGCGCGAGGGGCAGCACGCCGAGCUGCUCAAGGUGGGCUGCGCGGGCUGGUGGUACGUGCGCCUCGCAGG